rnacentral:misc_RNA from 1 species
CUCUUGGCCUGUGCAGGACAGCUUUGUGAUACUGGAUGAAGAUGAGCCUCCAUCAAUUGAAACUAGAACACCAACACCAAGGAAAUCCUACCCAUUUAUGUCCAAGGAUGCAGAGAAAAUGCAUCAAUUGAGGCAAGGUCGAGCUUUCUAUAGUUGGUGGGAUGAUGAUUUUUAGCAGCAACACCAAAAAUAGCAGCAGCAUCAUCGAUAUCAAUCUACCAACCCACACACAUACUAUGAGCAAAGCUAUGGAAAAACCAAUGAGAUUGUGUUUGGGGCAAUUCAAGAGCAGGAUGGGAAACGUGAAGCUGUGGUGAUGAAGCCUGUCGAUUAUGGAGAUCCCCUUUACAAUCACCGCAAUAUUCGCUUUAGAACCAAUACUGUGGAUUACAGUAAUGGGUAUUAAUUAAUAAUCAUAUACAAAGAGAUUUUGAUCCAGAGUGCCUUGAUAGUUUAGUUUAGGUAUGGUCAAAAUAUAGUAGUCCUGUUCCAUAAAGUGGCACUUGUAGUUUAUGUGGAAUUGGUGGCAGAAAAGAAGCA